rnacentral:rRNA from 1 species
GAUAGGUCAUCUCAUCUGGAAGGAGAGAUGGCUUAAAGGGGUGCGCGAGCUUCUUUUGUGCACCUGCUCUAGGAUGGGACUGCGGCCGAUCAGGCUGUUGGUGGGGUAAUGGCCCACCAAACCUGUAACCGGUACGGGCCUUGAGAGAGGGGGCCCGGAGAUGGACACUGAGAGAAGGGUCCAGGUCCUACGGGGCGCAGCAGGCGCGAAACCUUCGCAAUGCGCGAAAGCGUGACGAGGUUAAUCCGAGUGGUUCCCGCUGAGGGAAUCUUUUUUUGGCUCUAAAAUGGCCAGUGAAUAAGGGGAGGGCAAGUCUGGUGUCAGCCGCCGCGGUAAUACCAGCUCCUCGAGUGGUCGGGGCGAUUAUUGGGCCUAAAGCAUCCGUAGCCUGUUCUGUAGGUCUUCUGUUAAAUCCAACGGCUUAACCCGUUGGGCAUGCAGAAGAUACCGCAGACUAGGGAGGCGGGAGAGGUGGACGGUACUCCACGUGUAGGGGUAAAAUCCUUUGAUCCGUGGAAGACCACCAGUGGCGAAGGCGUCCACCAGAACCGCGCCUCGACGGUGAGGGAUGAAGCUGGGGGAGGCGACCGAUAGAAUACC